AUUGAACGCUGGCGGCAGGCCUAACACAUGCAAGUCGAGCGGCAGCGGAAGGAAGCUUGCUUCCUUGCCGGCGAGCGGCGGACGGGUGAGUAAGGUAUGGGGGUCUGGCCGAAGGCGGGGGAUAACCACUGGAAACGGUGGCUAAUACCGCAUAACCUCUAAGGAGCAAAGUGGGGGACCGUUCAGGCCUCACACCUUCGGAUGAACCCAUAUGAGAUUAGCUAGUAGGUGGGGUAAUGGCUCACCUAGGCGACGAUCUCUAGCUGGUCUGAGAGGAUGAUCAGCCACACUGGGACUGAGACACGGCCCAGACUCCUACGGGAGGCAGCAGUGGGGAAUAUUGCACAAUGGGCGCAAGCCUGAUGCAGCCAUGCCGCGUGUAUGAAGAAGGCCUUCGGGUUGUAAAGUACUUUCAGUCGUGAGGAAGGUGUUAAGGUUAAUAACCUUAGCAAUUGACGUUAGCGACAGAAGAAGCACCGGCUAACUCCGUGCCAGCCGCCGCCGUAA
rnacentral:rRNA from 1 species